GUCCAUUUUGCCUUGUUUUAUAAAAGUGCUGAUUUUCAAAGAAUCCUUUAAAACCCUUUCUUGGCAACACCUCCUCAGUGUCUGUUUCACCGCUUGCUUAAGGUGGAUGAGAGGGUUUCUCAUAAAUCUGUUAGAAGCAUUGCCACCACAAUGCAGUUGUAGCCAGGCAUACACCUUGCUUUACACACCUUGCUUUACACACCUUGCUUUACACAAUGAUUUUCUCUAAAAUGCAUUGUAUUGGUUGGAAGACGGUCACCAAUGAUAACCCCCUGAAAGCAGAGUGUAGCUGCGGUGAGUGAUCAUCUCGUUGCUGGAUGAGACCUAGACAAC